AUUACAGGCACGCGCCACCAUGCCUAGCUAUUUUUUUUUUUUUUUAUAUUUUUAGUAGAGACAGGGUUUCACCAUGUUGACCAGGAUGGUCUCGAUCUCUUGACCUCGUGAUCCACCCGCCUCGGCCUCCCAAAGUGCUGGGAUUACAGUCUUGAGCCACCACACCCAGCCUCAAGUGUUUUUAAAAGCUUACAUGUCUGCAUCUGGGGGAUGAUGACCUCAUAAAGGGCUUUCUUACAGCUGUGCCAGUCCCACAGAUACACUUCAGGUUUCAAAGCAUCAUGAACAACUCCCUGCUGACCCAUAAAAUGUGGGAAUCGCUGAUGCUACCCACAAAAGUGCUCCUUCGGCAUCACUUCUGCAAAGGUCUGAGACAGAGGUUUGCAAUCUUUUAGUAGCAGUGAGUCUACUGGUUUGGCUUAAGGUGGAGAGAAACGUUUACAUUCGUGUAUCCACGUCAAAAAUAGUUCCUGAGCACCCACUACACACCAGGCAUUGUGCCUGGCUCCAGGGGUAUAGUCAUGACACACCCAGGCAGUCCUGGACUUACAUGUUGUGUGUCUGUGUAUGCACAGAACUUCUGCCAACUGCCUUCCCACUGGUGCAACCAACAGUGAUUCUUACGGGUGGCAGAGGAAGGGAUGGCAAAUAGCAAAAGAAAGUCAGUCUGCACACCUGCCUUCCACUGGAGCUUGCAGUAGGAUUAGCUUGAGCUAAUUCAAUACCCCAUCUGGAAAGCACUUUUAAUUUUGCAUACUCAGGCAAAAUGACAGUUUGCUUCAACACUUUCUUCAAUUUCCUUUAUAUUUUCUUGUCUUCUUGGUCAGGCUGGUCUCGAACUCUUGACCUCAGGUGAUCUGCCUGCCUUGGCUUCCCAAAGUACUGGGAUUACAGGUGUGAGCCACUGUGCUCAGCCACUGUAAUCAGCCAGUGAUUUUUUACUUUUUGCUAGGCAAAAAGAUCAUUUUGUUGUUUUAACUUGUUUAAUUAUGAGUAAAUCUGGCAAUGUAUUAUGAAAACAAUAACAAGAGGAGCUUGAUAUAAAAUGUGCAAAUUCAGAUGUCCUUGAAGAUCAUUUUAGAGCCAGUAUGAAGUGGGGCGAUGCUGGUAGUGGGGGCUGGCUGUGGAGAAAACAAGCCAAAGGCAGACUUAUGAGAUCCUGAAGCUUUUGACUGGGGUUCACUCGGAGCCCAGACUCAGGCUGGUUCUGACAGGGACACCUGCCAGGCCUCGGCUUAGGGCCACAAGGUGGGAGACAGGAACUGGGGGUGAGGUCCCAGAGCCUAAGAGGCAACAACAGAGAGGUCUCUGCAGAAUCCCAUCUGAGCCCCAGACUCACUGUCCCAGGACAGGCUAAGCCAGAGUCUGUCCAGGAACUACUUUUGCAUAAGGAGCUGGAAGUGGUCUACCCAGUAAGUGGGGGCCUGGAUUCACGCAAACCAUUGCACCAUGGACGGCCAGAGAAACUCACAGAACCUUCCUGUGCUGGCUAACAUACUCUCUCACUUCCUCUGCAGCCUCUGCCAAGCCAAGCAGCCAGCUCCUAGGGCUCCCCUCCCUCCACCUGAGGCUCCUCGUCCUCCCUUCCUCUGGAGCCUCCAGCCUCCCGGGGCUUGCCCUCCUCGCUGCCAGCUCCAGCAGGGGCUGCCAAAGGUGUGGGAGAGAGAAGUGGGCUUCCUGGGGCCACCUCCCACUUUGGGGUGUUUGGAGGGUGACGGAGUGACCGCCAGGGGGCAGUGUGGACAGGUCUCCAUAGGACUGGUAAGGAAGACACCUUUGUAGCCACCUCAACAGACGGGAGCCCUCCACACGCCUUCUCCACUGCCCAGAGAUGCGGGUUCACCAUAUUAGCCAGGCUGGUCUCAAACUCCUGACCUCAAGUGAUCCACUGCCUCAUCCUCCCAAAGUGGUGGGAUUACAGGCGUGAGCCAACAUGCCCGGCCUCCCAGUGACUGGCUUUCUGUGUGCUCCUGGUUUGUUGAGGCAAACCCCCAUUUCUGGCUUCCCCUGAGACCUCCCCUCCCCGAAACAACAGACUCACCAUGGGCCCAUCCAGGUCUCUUCGGGAGCUUCACGGAAUUGCUUCUGCCUGGCCCCAGCUCAGAGGUUCUGACAGAAUUGGCCUGGGGUGAGGCCUGGCAUCCAUGGGAUUUUCACAAGCUUCCAGAACUCAGGUUCUUUUGGAGGAAGCCAUGUCAAGUCCUGCUCCAGGCUUAAGCCAGUCGCACAUUCCCUGCCCUGCCCCAUUGCCAGGUUCGGGAGCGUGCUCGUGAUCCAAGCGUCCCACCCCCAGAUACAUCUCAAGAUUCUUGCUUGUACUUAUGGACACUCAGGCUCCUCCAAGAAGGAAUCGAACUUGCUUCUCUUUAUGUCCUUUCCUCUGGGAGAUGUGUUCUCAUCAACAUGUUCAGACGCGGCCCAUCCAGCAGGGGACAGCCUGGGCUCAAGCUGGGAUGCCUAUUUAAUUUAUUUUCUGCUAAUUAAACUUCCUAAUAUACUCCACUCUGAGCGUGUUUGCAGGCAGGGGUGUGGGAUAAGCGGCCCUGCCUGGCUGGGAGACGAGGCAGCUCCCUGCUGCACUGUGUAUUAAUAAAGAGACAUGCAUGGCAGUGCCUGUUUGGGCCAAGGUGGCAGCUUAGGACAGAAGGCACGUGGCAAUCAGGGUUUCAAACAACCCAGGAAGAACACUGCUUCAGGGAAGACAGCUCAGCAUCUCCCUGGCAAAGAAUAAUGACAUUGGUAAUACUCUCCAAAGAAUUUCAGGAUUUUGAGCAAACAGAAAAGCAACACAGAAAUUCAUAUCAUCAAAACAAUAUGGCUUUAUUGGACCCUUAAGACUUUUAUUGGAGGCUCAAGAGCAUAAUCCUGCUGGUUGGUUUCACUUCGUCGAUUUUCCGUUGUGUCUAAUUACAUUGCUCAUGCUGAUGGCAGAUGACCAUCAGCUCUUUUCCUGCCUGUCCUGAGGUUCAUCCACCAAUGUUUCAGUUCUGCUGUAAGAUAUUGUCCUGAACCCCCAACAUCUCGUGCGUGCUGUUUUUUUUUUAAGAGUUCAUAGCGGGUGGAAGACUCUCCUCUGUAACACACUUAUGUUCCCUCCCAACCAGGCCUGGGAGGAGGAGGAGUCUAGCUUGUGGGGGCUGUUCAUAUGCU